rnacentral:rRNA from 1 species
GGAAUAUUGGACAAUGGGCGCAAGCCUGAUCCAGCAAUGCCGCGUGAGUGAUGAAGGCCUUCGGGUUGUAAAGCUCUGUCGGGGGGGACGAAAAAGUGCGGGUAACGCCGUAACUUGACGGUACCUCCAAAGGAAGCACCGGCUAACUCUGUGCCAGCAGCCGCGGUAAUACAGAGGGUGCAAGCGUUGUUCGGAAUUACUGGGCGUAAAGCGCGUGUAGGCUGCAAUAUAAGUCGGAUGUGAAAGCCCUCGGCUCAACCGAGGAAGUGCAUCCGAUACUGUAUCGCUAGAGUGUCGGAGGGGAUGGCGGAAUUCCCGGUGUAGAGGUGAAAUUCGUAGAUAUCGGGAGGAACACCUGUGGCGAAGGCGGCCAUCUGGACGACAACUGACGCUGAGACGCGAAAGCGUGGGUAGCAAACAGGAUUAGAUACCCUGGUAGUCCACGCUGUAAACGAUGAGUGCUAGACGUCACGGGUAUUGACCCCUGUGGUGUCGAAGUUAACACGUUAAGCACUCCGCCUGGGGAGUACGGUCGCAAGAUUAAAACUCAAAUGAAUUGACGG